ACGAACGCUGGCGGCGUGCUUAACACAUGCAAGUCGAGCGGUAAGGCCCUUUCGGGGGUACACGAGCGGCGAACGGGUGAGUAACACGUGGGUGACCUGCCCUCAGCUCUGGGAUAAGCCUGGGAAACCGGGUCUAAUACUGGAUAUGACUCCAUGACGCAUGUUGUGGGGUGGAAAGCCUUGUGCGGCUGAGGAUGGGCCCGCGGCCUAUCAGCUUGUUGGUGGGGUGAUGGCCUACCAAGGCGACGACGGGUAGCCGGCCUGAGAGGCGACCGGCCACACUGGGACUGAGACACGGCCCAGACUCCUACGGGAGGCAGCAGUGGGGAAUCUUGCGCAAUGGGCGAAAGCCUGACGCAGCGACGCCGCGUGAGGGAUGACAGCCUUCGGGUUGUAACCUCUUUCAGCUCCGACGAAGCGAGAGUGACGGUAGGAGCAGAAGAAGCACCGGCCAACUACGUGCCAG
rnacentral:rRNA from 1 species